AACAAAGUAGCCAGCGUUCACCAGUUCUUGGUGUAAGAUCAAUCUCUGUUUCUGCACGUGGGAUUGAAACGUCGAAGAUGUUCGGAUGGGGUAUAAUGACUCUUUACGAAGGAAGGCCGGAUUGAUCAAUGAUGCGCGCAGUCCAUCAUACUUUUAAGGUGAGUUUUUAAACAGAUGAAAUUGUCUGUUAAGCUAGAGGAGUACCUGACAAAGAAUGUUCCUCACAGAUUCUUUUGUGGCUACAGCUUUAUAGAAGAAUUUGCCUACAGCAGUAUCCCUACAGCAUAAAGCAUGAUAAUGGACCAUAUCUAGAGCUCCCAACGUUGGAUUUGGACAUUUUUGGCGUCUCUAGAAAGAUAAGAGAGAGCUCUACAACUUUUCUAUUGGGAGCAAAGACCAGUUCAGACAUUAAGUGACCAAAAAAUGCAUUGCAAAGUUGCGACCCUACACAAUAUUUUCUUUUUAUUUUUUGAUUGUAAUGUUAGGAUUUGUUUAGUGAUGUAAUUAAUUGAUUUAAUGGUUGGGCCUUUAAUUACUCAUAUUAGGCCCAUUAGUGUA